UACAGAGCCACGAGCGUUAGGCGGAAUCACUGGGCUUAAAGCGUGUGUAGGUGGAUGGGUAAGUACCUUGUGAAAUCCCACGGCUCAACCGUGGAACUGCUUGGUAUACUGCCUGUCUUGAGGCACUCAGGGGCGAGCGGAACAAAUGGUGGAGCGGUGAAAUGCGUAGAUAUCAUUUGGAACGCCAAUGGUGAAGACAGCUCGCUGGGGGUGUACUGACACUGAGAUGCGAAAGCGUGGGGAGCAAACAGG
rnacentral:rRNA from 1 species